rnacentral:misc_RNA from 1 species
UUUCUCUCCAAUAGUCAUUGUAAGGUGCAAAGACUAUGUCGCGACCAUUGUAAGACAAUUUUUGCUGCCCAAGAUGAGAAGCUCUACUACAAAAGGCUAAAUCUUGUGUCUUCAACACUUGUUUUGCUAAUUUUGCCGAAGAAAUUACAACUAUUGGAGUAGAACCAAAUCUUAAUGAAAAUACUUUUCCAUAUUUUUUCGAAAGUUUCG